rnacentral:rRNA from 1 species
AUGAACGCUAGCUACAGGCUUAACACAUGCAAGUCGAGGGGCAGCAUGGUCUUAGCUUGCUAAGGCCGAUGGCGACCGGCGCACGGGUGAGUAACACGUAUCCAACCUGCCGUCUACUCUUGGACAGCCUUCUGAAAGGAAGAUUAAUACAAGAUGGCAUCAUGAGUCCGCAUGUUCACAUGAUUAAAGGUAUUCCGGUAGACGAUGGGGAUGCGUUCCAUUAGAUAGUAGGCGGGGUAACGGCCCACCUAGUCUUCGAUGGAUAGGGGUUCUGAGAGGAAGGUCCCCCACAUUGGAACUGAGACACGGUCCAAACUCCUACGGGAGGCAGCAGUGAGGAAUAUUGGUCAAUGGGCGAGAGCCUGAACCAGCCAAGUAGCGUGAAGGAUGACUGCCCUAUGGGUUGUAAACUUCUUUUAUAAAGGAAUAAAGUCGGGUAUGGAUACCCGUUUGCAUGUACUUUAUGAAUAAGGAUCGGCUAACUCCGUGCCAGCAGCCGCGGUAAUACGGAGGAUCCGAGCGUUAUCCGGAUUUAUUGGGUUUAAAGGGAGCGUAGAUGGAUGUUUAAGUCAGUUGUGAAAGUUUGCGGCUCAACCGUAAAAUUGCAGUUGAUACUGGAUAUCUUGAGUGCAGUUGAGGCAGGCGGAAUUCGUGGUGUAGCGGUGAAAUGCUUAGAUAUCACGAAGAACUCCGAUUGCGAAGGCAGCCUGCUAAGCUGCAACUGACAUUGAGGCUCGAAAGUGUGGGUAUCAAACAGGAUUAGAUACCCUGGUAGUCCACACGGUAAACGAUGAAUACUCGCUGUUUGCGAUAUACUGCAAGCGGCCAAGCGAAAGCGUUAAGUAUUCCACCUGGGGAGUACGCCGGCAACGGUGAAACUCAAAGGAAUUGACGGGGGCCCGCACAAGCGGAGGAACAUGUGGUUUAAUUCGAUGAUACGCGAGGAACCUUACCCGGGCUUAAAUUGCAGAUGAAUUACGGUGAAAGCCGUAAGCCGCAAGGCAUCUGUGAAGGUGCUGCAUGGUUGUCGUCAGCUCGUGCCGUGAGGUGUCGGCUUAAGUGCCAUAACGAGCGCAACCCUUAUCUUCAGUUACUCACAGGUUAUGCUGAGGACUCUGGAGAGACUGCCGUCGUAAGAUGUGAGGAAGGUGGGGAUGACGUCAAAUCAGCACGGCCCUUACGUCCGGGGCUACACACGUGUUACAAUGGGGGGUACAGAGGGCCGCUACCACGCGAGUGGAUGCCAAUCCCCAAAACCUCUCUCAGUUCGGACUGGAGUCUGCAACCCGACUCCACGAAGCUGGAUUCGCUAGUAAUCGCGCAUCAGCCACGGCGCGGUGAAUACGUUCCCGGGCCUUGUACACACCGCCCGUCAAGCCAUGGGAGCCGGGGGUACCUGAAGUGCGUAACCGCGAGGAGCGCCCUAGGGUAAAACUGGUGACUGGGGCU